AAAAAAAAAAAAGAAAGCCUGAAAGUGGAAUGAGCUUCCCCGGCCGACCGGCUCCCUUCCCCGCCGGCUCCCAGAGCUGUGUAUGUCCCUUCCAUGGCACUGGUAUGAUAUUCCUGAAUGAGCAGAGAAGUCAGCUGAGGGCCACACACCGUCAUCUGCAUUUCACAGAAGUCAUAAAGAUGCUGAUUGCUCAGGGGGCUCAGCUGUCUCAGCACAAAAAGGGGUAAGUCAUGUUCUAUGCAGAGAACACAAAGUAAGUGGCUCCCUGAGAUGGGGCUGGGCAGGCCACAGACACCACCAGGCAUCAUUUCCUCCUAGUCCACUCUCACACCGGAGCCAGAGGGAACCCUCUAGAGUGCAGACACGAGUUACCUGUCCCCCACCACUUUAGAGCCAUCAAUGGGUCCCCUUGCUUUUGGGAGCAUCUUCUAACCUGGAUCAGGCAGAGUGGCCCAUCCAGAAAACAUGGGCUAGCUGUCAAAUAAGUCUAGGAAAUUCUGGAGGAAAUCAAGACUAUAGAUUUCUCCCUCAGCGGGACAUUUUUGAUGCAUCUAACAAAUAUUUGUGGGAGUGGGGUGGGGAGAAAAAACAAUUUGUUUAGCACUUUCUAUGCCUGGUACCGUGCUAAAUGCUGGGAAUGCAGCCACGAGCAUGGCUGAUAGGGUCCCCCGCUGUCCUGGAGUGAGGCUGUGGAGGAAGAGGCAGAGCCAAGCAUGGUCAGGGCCGUGAGAGUCUCUUCGUGUGCAGUGUUUCUCAGACUAAUUUACCAAGGAGCCUCUUUUUCACAGAACACCUGUUAACUUCCUACAGAAGCAUGUUCUGGGAGCCAGGGAGGAACACCAAAUUAUGGCAUAAGGUCAAAGCCCGUUUCACAUGAAAUACUGUUAUCAUCCAAUAUCACUUCUUGCCACCCCCAGCUGUACCUUCCAGCCACACUGAACAAAUGUGUCAUUUUCUGUUCAAGCCAUGCCUGCCUCACUGCCACCUCCUACAAGAAGCCGUCCCACACCCCUAAGCAUAUCAGACCUCAAAGCCCAUACUUUCUCCAGAACAGCACCCCUGCCCCCAGAGUGUCAUUUCCUUGAGUCAAAUACAGCAACCCUGACGUGAACUCCUUUAAACCUCUGCAAUUUCAUCUUAUUUUAGUCAUAGAAAACUCUUGGUUCCAGUUGACUAAAUCCUGCUAAAGGGUUCAAUUAGUAACAUCCCUCUCCUUCCUACCCACAUUUCCAACCAACUGGGAACUAUCCAGUAGCCAGUCAGAUGGAAAUUAAAUGUCAGCUGUGUUCAUGCAAAGCGCGGUGGAAGGUGUCUCUGCGUCAGCGGCUCCAGCUACUGGCAGUGCCAGACAAUUCCUGGCACUAAGUCAGAGCAGGCCCUGAGCAUGUGGCCAAGAACAGUGCAGAGCCCUGGCUGCCCGCCAGCAGAUGACAGGAGCAAAGAGAGAGGGAGGGGCUCGACUCCGCAUCCCAAGGCCUGGGCCUGGGUCUAAUCUGUCUGUCUCUAGUGCCCAGCCCAGGACCCUAGGCACAGCAAAGUACUGAUGUUUGCACGAGGGAUCAUUGAAGAGAAGUCUAAUGUGCCUCAGGAGGGAGCGGAUAAUGCAGCCCUUCUCUGCAGUCAACAGACCACACUUGGAGAAUGGUAGUGGCCACAGCAAGGCAGACGCCAGUUGAUGGGAAGGAAAACAGUGCCAUUCAAACAAGGAAUGAACUUUCUUGGAGUCAGUGAGGUCCCUGUUCCUAGAGGUGUGCAAACAGAGGCUGGGCAGUAGCUGCUUGGACUCCUCCUAAAGAGCCCCAGGGAGGUUGGACAAGAGGAUGCCCAGCCCCUACCCCCAUCCCAACCCCAGAUCCGGAGUGCCUCAGGAUCUCUGUGCUCCUGCCUCCAGAGGUAUGUGUCCCAGGCAGAAGAGGACAAGCAGUGCUACAUCCACGAGCUGCAGCCUUUCAGAGCUCUGAGACCUCCGAGCCUUCCUGCAGAGCUGUGCAGCCCACAGAGCUGUGUGCCAGGUGCUGAAGCAUUGACCUCAGGGGUGCCUGCUGCUUCCUCUUGGCUCAUUGUGGUUUUCAGGCCUCAGAUGAAAUGGAACAGCACUGAUCCUCCUGCAGCAGGUGACAUGAAGACCCCCUCGAGAUAACGUAUACAAUCAAAGAAGGCACCUCAGAGCCUCUGAUUGAUGGUUCCCAAGCAGGACUGAGCCCUUUUCUGAGACAAAUUCUUUUUUAAAUGAUGUCUUUUGUUUCUCCUUCAGAAGCAGGGACCCCAGGAAGUGAAUUUGAGAAUAAGGGCCUUGACUUCUCAGAAAUUAAUGUCAGUGUUUUGGGAGGGAAGAUGCAUCACCCUCAUUUGGUGUGGGAGGCUGAAAACCGGUCUCUCCAAAAGACAUUCAUGUCCUGAUGCCUGGAACUUGUGAAUGUGACCUUAUAUGAUGGAAAAAAAUGGGAGGGUUGGGGGAUGUGAUGAAGGAUCUUGGUGGUGGCAGGGCCGGUGGGGGUGGGGAGAUGAUGCAGCCACCAGUGUCCUGACAAGAGGGACACAAAUGGAGAUGGGACCCAGGAGAGCAGAAGCCCUUGUGAUCACAGAGGCAGCCUGGACUGAGGCAGUCACCAGAGUGGCUGGAAGAGGCAAGGAACUGAGUCUCUCCUGCAGCCUCCAGUGGGACUGUGCCCUGCCCACCUUCAUUCUGGCCCAGUCAGACUGACUGUAGACUUCUGGCCUCCAGAACUUGGAGUGAGUAAAUGUCUGUUGUUUUAAGCCACCCAGUUGAUGGCAGUUGGUUAGAGCAGCCAUAGGAGACAUACAUUUAAACAGGAGACUGUGGAUCAAUGCAGUGAAGGCUGCACAUCCAUCUCUUACUCCAUGGUGGCGUGUCCACGUGGGAAGGAGCCUGAGGCUGGCUGGGGGAGGCCGGGAAGACCCACAGGGAAGCAAUUCUGAGAUGACACCUUCUGAGUCAUUCUGAUUCUGAGAUGGAGAAUAAAUUAGAAAUUCCCGGAGGAAGCUCUGGACAGGGUGGAUGCAGAGGGAUGUGACGCAGGCAGGGUGUUCCAGGCGGAGGAAACAGGAUGUGCAGAGGCCCAGUGAUGGGCAGCAGCAUCACGUGUUUGGGGAACCAUGAGCAGCUCAGGACGCCUGGACCAGGCCCUGUGCCUGACGUAUGGGCACAUAUGGGGCUGGGUGGGGAAAGGAUUCAUCAGAUGUUGGAACAAGCUGGGAUGGAAGGUGUAGAUGUUUCCUCUUUGAGUUUUCAUUGACAAUGAAAUAUAUGUUUAAUUAACAAAUGAAGAAUAACGGAAAAUGAAUUUUAAGGGGCAGAUAGAUGUGUUUACAAUGACAUUUUCUGGAAGGCUACACUAGAAACUAUAAUCUAUAGUGAGUAGAAAUAGGAUGUUGGGUCCCUUUUCUUUUGACUUUAAACCCCCUCCUUUUUUAGAAAUUUCAGCAUUCACUUAUAAUCACUCGAAAAGUUGCUUUGCAUACAACACCUUGUAUCGUUAGGAAAUGACUUGAGGACUUAAAGGGCAAAGGACUUUCUGAGUGCACCGUCUGCCUGAAAGGUCAGUCCUCGGUGCCCCAGGCUGGGCUGCCGUGGCAGGAGCCACUUCAGUGGGGUUCCAGCCUGCAGCUACUCCCGAUGUAAGGGGCCUGCUCUGGACUGCAGGCUACUCUCCCAGCAACCCAGCCACCCUCUCCUGGAGCCUGCCUUGGCUCCCCAUGGCCUUUAUGGUAAGGCCUUCCACAACCUGGCUCCCAUCUCCCUGUCCAACGUCAUCCACCCACCAUAUCUCCCAGCCCCCAUGGAGCACUGCCAGCAGUGAGCAUGCAGUGAGCUCUGGAACCCACAACCCCCUCCACAUCCUCAGGCAUCCACUAUGACCUGUUUCCAGCACAUCUUCCAGAAAUAUCCUACUGACAUGGAAGCACCUGCAGGUGAGUGCAUAUGUAUUCUGAUAAAAGGAUGCAUUCUUGUUUCAUUUUAGAGCUCAUUUUGGUUUAGGAUUUUGAAGAAAACUCUGUAAACAAACAAGACCUGGAAUUGGUUACGUGCUCUCUCAAACAACACCGCUAAUCUUCAAAACACUCUUCUGUCUACUCAGGACCGAGCACUUUCUCUCCCACCUGAAGGCAGAGGUCUUGAGAUGAGUUGAGAUGCUCAUCUGUGCUAGAAAGGCAUCACACCUGGCAAGGGAAUUUACAGGGGGAUGAACACAAUGACCUGUACUCUGGGACAUACAGGCAGUUCUUCAGCCCCCUGCGCAAGAAGAAGGAGCAGCUCAGUACCUCAGCACCUCACAGGUAAACAGCCUGGGCGAGGCUGCUCGGCGGCUAACACUAGCCUUGACUCCACCUGCACCAGGGGUCACCAACGGGCAGCCCACAUGAUGCCUCUUGUUAUUAAGAUGCAAUUUUAAAACAGGCUCUAGUCAAGCCCACUCACUACCAGGUGAGUGUUCGGGACAGGGUAGGUCUUCCACUAUAUUUUUUUUCCUCUUAGGUCACCAGGCCUGCCUGCUCUGUGCCACCUGGGACCUCAGAUCCUCCUGGAGCCCUCACUCAGUUUAUUCCGUCUCUACCGGCUCCUUAACUAUCCCAGAGCACCCCAGGCCCAUGCCCACCUCAGGCCCAGAUGCCGCACUCUCUGCCUGCAGCGCUCUGUGCCCAUGUGGCCACAGGGCUCUUGCAACCUCCCUUCAUCCAGCUCUUUGCUUACCUGUCUCCUGCCCAGGGACGCCCCCCGGUCACCAGUGCCAAUGUCCAGCCCUGCCCAUUUCUCUUCACCAUCACUGUAUCGCCACCUCGCAGCCCAUUCCGCUUGCUCAGUCCUGGUGUUAUUGCCUGUCCCCCACUGGAAGCGAUGGCCCUCUAGUUCAGCAAUUGUUUUGCCUGUUUUGUCCACUGUGGUCACCUGGGCCUAGAACCACACCUGGCACUCCCGGGAGCUGCUCAAUACAUAUUCAGUGAAUGGACGAAUGAAUGAAUGUGUUCAUCAAAGACCCAGCAAAUUCCUUCCAGGGACAGAGCCAGGUGCUAGGGACACAGGAAGAAGAAGGUAGAGUUCCAUGCUGACAAAACUAAGGGCCAAACAUGUGGAUGAAUAUGAACAUCCUGGCAUUAAAACGUCUUGAAUUCAAGUGAAAUGAAACCCACUGGACACAGAGAGGCCCCACCACAAUGGCAUCGGUGUAAAAUCCAGAGAAAGAUCCUCUAAGGGUGAAAACAGCCUUGGUAGGUGCUGGACUAAGGGGCGACAUUGAGUUUCUUCUUCCCACCUAUCCUUUAGGGAUGUGAAAACAGAACUAGGUCUCACGUAGGCCCCUGUCAGCACCCUGACUGCUGAGUCACGCGGGUCAGUUACGCAGCCACUCUGUGCUUCCCCGGCCUCCUCUGUAAAAUAAGGAUGGCAUUGCCUGGCUGGCAGGGCUCUCCUGAGAAUACACAAUGCCUCACACAGGGCCCAGAGCAGCUGAGAGGUCACCGCCUCCAGGAAGACUUCCCUGAUCUACACGUGGGGUUGGGCCUUCCCAGGGCUCCUAAGGCUUGCACGCAUACGCGUCACUUUGUAAUGAUCAUCCCCGUCACUGUCCCACAACACACAUUACACACAACACAACACAACACAAACACAUGCACUCUACAAACACACACACACUGCAUAUAACACACACUAUACACAUUACAGACACAACACAUAACCCUUGGCCAGGUACAGUGGCUCACGCCUGUAA